AUUCCGGUUGAUCCUGCCGGAGGCCAUUGCUAUUGGGAUUCGAUUUAGCCAUGCUAGUCGCACGAGUUUAGACUCGUGGCGAAUAGCUCAGUAACACGUGGCCAAACUACCCUUCGGAGCUCCAUACCCUCGGGAAACUGAGGCUAAUAGAGCAUACCACAAUCCAGCUGGAAUGAGGAUUGUGCCAAACGCUCCGGCGCCGAAGGAUGUGGCUGCGGCCGAUUAGGUAGACGGUGGGGUAACGGCCCACCGUGCCAAUAAUCGGUACGGGUCAUGAGAGUGAGAACCCGGAGACGGAAUCUGAGACAAGAUUCCGGGCCCUACGGGCGCAGCAGGCGCGAAACCUUUACACUCCACGACAGUGCGAUAAGGGAAUCCCAAGUCGCAGGCAUAGAGCCUGCGCUUUUGUACACCGUAGGGAGGUGUACGAAUAAGGGCUGGGCAAGACCGG
rnacentral:rRNA from 1 species